rnacentral:rRNA from 1 species
ACUCCGGGAAACCGGGGCUAAUACCGAAUGAUAAAGUGUGGCGCAUGCCACGCUUUUGAAAGAUGGUUUCGGCUAUCGCUUACAGAUGGGCCCGCGGUGCAUUAGCUAGUUGGUAGGGUAAUGGCCUACCAAGGCAACGAUGCAUAGCCGACCUGAGAGGGUGAUCGGCCACACUGGGACUGAGACACGGCCCAGACUCCUACGGGAGGCAGCAGUAGGGAAUCUUCCGCAAUGGACGAAAGUCUGACGGAGCAACGCCGCGUGUAUGAAGAAGGUUUUCGGAUCGUAAAGUACUGUUGUUAGAGAAGAACAAGGAUAAGAGUAACUGCUUGUCCCUUGACGGUAUCUAACCAGAAAGCCACGGCUAACUACGUGCCAGCAG